CAACCCAAACCAUUCUGUGAUUAUUCUAUGAAUCAGAAAGGUUAAUUCAUAUUAUCUCUAUCCAUGUUGGCUUUGUGUCCUGCAGUUGCUCUGCAGAUCUGCUUUUAAACACUUCUCUCUGUUCCACAGAGGUGUUCACAUACACAGCUGUAUUCAAAAAGUUUUCAUUUUUAUUCUUCUGUGUUUGUUAUCAGGCACCCUUGCGGGCCCGAUGGAAUUGCUCUGGCACAAGUUCACUGGCCUGGGGUAGUUUAAACAGAAAGAGCAAACAAAUAUCAGUGCAGGACUGGCCCAAAUUCUGCUCUCACUUGCCAUGUUGCUGCUAUGGGACUGGGAGAGUCAGAGCCACAUGUUAGGGUGAUGUCUGUGUGAAGAAGACAAUCCAGGCCAGGAAGCAAUGUUAGAGAGGGUGAAGAUGAUCUAAAUUAUCAUGAAGGCCUGGUCUAGUGGAAGGUGUUCCUGUCCAUGGCAGGAGGGUUGGAAUGAGAACAUCUUUAGGGCCUCUUCCAACCCAAACCAUUCCACAGUUCUAUGAUUCUGUGGCUACUGCUGAGAUAUUCUCAGUCUAAAUUCCUACUAUGCUUAAGGUUGUCUUAAUUCUCCUGUCUAUUAUGAAAAUGCACAUUUUCUAAUAUGAAAACAUGCUUGAAAAUGCAUGUUCUCAAUAAGAAGCCACACCUUUUUAUUUUUCCUCCUAAUUUUAGGUAGAUUUUGCUCCUUAGUUUUCCUCUCACUGCUUUUUGAACAUCCCUCAGCCCUGAGCACACUCAUGCCCUCGUGGUCACAAACAACAUGUUCCGAGGCAGGGAUGGGGCUCAGACACAGGCCUUGUUGUUUGUGACUCUUUGUUCAGUAACUCUGUGACCUUGGAGGUAACCAUGGUUAAUUUGUUAAGGAAACAGCAACUCAGCAAACUUUGGAAACUUAGUUCCAAUAUCUGUGAAAAGAAAGGGAGCUGCUGGUGGCUUUCGUCUUCCUUGUUUAAGGCAAGUACCUGCACUUUGAUUUAGUUUCACAGUUGCUCUCAAGGUAUUAUAGUAGAAAAUGAAAAUAUAAACAUGCCUUUGUUCCCUAUGGUAACAAAGUGACGUCCCAGCUGCACCAGAAAUAAGGAUCCUGGGGACAAAAUAUUGAGCUGUACUUAAUCUGGGCAAUAAAAUGUAGGAGCAGAGACAGGCACUGUGUGGGCAAAGAUGCUGUCAUUCCACUGAAGCAGCCUGGCUCUGGUCCUCUGCAGCUCCAAUAAAUACAAGAGAAUAGCAAAGAUGCAAAGAUGUACCUGCAGAUCUGAAAUUUCUGCACUCAACUCUGCAUUUAGAGACGAAAUGCAACACGUGCUGGCAGAGAUGGGAAUGCCAGGUCUGUCCAAGUUCCUGAAGUAGCAAACAGAGAAUCAUAUAAAACAAUAACACAAAAACAAUAAUAAGGGUUAUAGGCACAGGGAAGGAGGAAAUCAGUAAAACCAAAGUGUAUGUGCAUGUUUCAAAUGGCGUUGUUCAGUUCCCGCUGAGGAAGGUGGCUGUUCAAGGGCAGGGUUCGUGCUCAGGGAGGGAAUCUGCCGUGUAAAAGAGGUUAACCGGGAAAGGCUGCGGCUUGGAAAGUGUUGUAACGAGAGAAAUCACAAGAGGGGGGUGUUGUACAGCACUCCGGCGUCUGCAAUCCCCACAGCACUGACCCCGUGCCAUAAUCCGAGUUUAUUUUACCAGAGGAAGAUACAAAAGUCACCGCCUGCAUCUCUUUUGACAGCAGUAACAUUUUUCUCCGUGUGAGACAAGGAUUUGUCAUGUCAAGAUCAAUAAGCAGGAGAACUGCCAUCUCCACCUCUGUAGCUGUGUUGAAACCAAGUGUGAAAUGACAGUGAGAGAGGUUUGACAGGUUAAAAAAGAAUCCAAACCAGAGAUCUGUGAAGGAUGAGUCAAUCAUGACGAUAUUUAUUUCAUUUCUUGGUCUUACCUCUUUUUUCAUCCUGUGAGUGAAAUCCUGUGAGUCUUUGAUCACUGACUGGGAGCUGGCUGCUCCUUCCCUGUCUACUGUCAGUGGCAGGAGGAAAUCAUGACUCAGCAGGUGGAAAAGGUGUGUCCAUAACCUCAUUCUCCUUCUGAUAAGAUGCUCUUUAAGCUUUUCAGGAAGAGUUUCCUUCUGUCUGCCACCCUGCCAAGACUCCUUUUACUUCUCCCUGUCUCCUGAGAACACAGCACCCUUCAGUAGUGUUGGAAAAAAUGAUGCAAGGAGCAGAGAAAAUCUCUUUCUGUCAAGCCCCAGUGUGAUGUGAAAAUGCACUUAAGAGCUGAGAUGCUGCUCAGAGAUGACUUCAUGGAAGAGGAUUGACUCCACUGUGUCUGGCAUCUGGCCUGGGAAGCUGAUGGGGAAUGAUUAAUUUCAAAUGAUGCACUGCACUGUGGAUAGCUGGAGACAGCUCUCCUCUUCCCAAACCUUAAUUGAAAAUGGGGAGAAAAGGAAGAGUUUGGGGCACGGGGCAAGUGUGACCUCCAGGAAAGCUCAGUGUGUGGCUGCAAAGCUGAUGCUGGCAGCUGAUCUGAACUGGACCCACUGCACUGGGGGCAGGCCCUGGCACAGCAGGGAGGGUGCUGUGAGAAUCAGGCACGUCUGCCUUUCUCAUCCAUCAUUGUUCCCUUCUCCCAGCGUUGCACAAGGAGGGAUUUGCACUUGGGCAAGUCAGUGUGUUGAUCUCCUUGCAUGAACUGCUCACCCACACACUCUGACCCAUCCCACUUCAUUGUGGGAGAGGAGAACACUGGCAGGAAAUUCAGGCCUCCUUUCUUGCAGCAACACCCAGCAACAGUGCCAGGCUCAGGCUGGCCACUUUGGCUGGGUUUGGUUUAUGGCUGUCAAGGAGAACAGUUACAGCACAUUAAAACAUCAUGUGAUGCUAUAAGCCAGCUUGCUGAAAGCUGUACAAUAGGGACAGACCAAAACUGUAGUGUUUGAAAAAAAAAAAAAAGAAAACCAAACCGAAACCCAAUAAUAGCCUGCCUAAAACUGCUUAAAAUAUCAUGCAGUCAUUAAAGUCAUUAAAAUAUGAUCAUCUUUUUGGAAUGUCCUUUGCUAGUUCCUGAUUUGCUGAUAGAUUCUCUGAGAUAUGAAAUAUUUGAUGAGUAAGUACCUUAAAAAAUUGAAGGUGAGGAUGGAAACUUAGUAAAUAAAGGGAGGGUUGAAAGGAGCUAGGGAAUUACAGACACAUCAGUUUACCUCCAAUUUCCUGAGAAAUCCUGGACCAAAUAAUCAAACAGUUUGUAAGCAUGUAAGAGAAGACAAUGAGACUAGAGAUAGUCAACAUGGAUUUGUCAAGAACAAAUCAUGUCAAGUCAAUCUCAUUUCCCUCCAUGGCAGAGCAACAAGCUUUGGGACAGAGAGAAAAACAUUCCAGUUGUGAGUCUUGACAUUAGUUAGACCUCUAUUGGGAAAGACAUAAGCAAGACAAGGAAAUGUAAAUAUGGAGUUAUAAAGAGCUGAGUGCAAAGUGUUUCAGGAAGGUGUAAGAGAUGUGUCUGACCAAGAGAAUUCUGAAAAAUGUGACCUGUAUGAGGAGUGAAGUGCUGUAAUAAACUCUUAGAGAGGGUUAUCACGGGAAGCUCUCGAGAACAAAAAUCUCUCAGCUGCUCCUGCCCUGUUACACAGGAACAGAAUAGAGAAGGUUCUUGAAGUCUUUGUACUCUGCUUCUAUUGCAACUCCAGCCAUAUAAAAAUCUUUGAUUGUCUGAGGUGGAUUUUACCCCACAGAAUUGCAUGUCCAGCAGGAAGCUCAGGCCAUAUCACUCACAUUAAUAUCACUGGCAGAACACUGAAAACAGAAUUACAAAAGCAUUUUGUGACUCCUAAUCUAAUUUAGUGAAAGUUACAUUACCUGAGUAUUAAUCAGUGUUCCAGUGUAAAGUGGUGGAUGAAACUGUUGCUUUCUUCUCUUAUAUGACACCACAGAGACAAAUUCCCCUUUCAACAGGAUUCCCUCAGGGAGCAGAGGGAAAAUAGCUGGCCUGGGAAGUGAAACUCCUGCUUGCUCCACACCACACUGCACCAGUGCUGGGCUUGUCACCCUCCCUUCACCAUGGCAUAGAUAUUUGAGAUAACUAGAAACAGAAACUCCGAAGUGCUGCAGGGAAUUAGGCAACUUAAAACACCAUCCUCACUAAAAUUUAUUACUGUGCAUGCAGAAACCCAUUUUUAGGCACUUAAGUCCAGUACAUCCAGUUCUGGUAUUUUACUUGAGACUGUUCAUGACCUUAAGCUUAGAUGUGGAUUUAAGUGUGGUGCUGGCUGUGAUCUCACAGUUUUGCUUGGAUUCUUUAUUCUCCCAUUCACACUGAAUCAAUUCCUGAUGCCACUGAACAAUAACUCAGCUCUGGUUUCCCCAGGGGAGGAAUUCAGCUCGUGGUGUGUAUUCUACGCUGAGGCUCAGCUGGCUCAUGCAUGGCCAGGGACAGGCAGAGGUAUUUUGCUUUUGGGGAGGAAACCCAAGUUUCCACACUCCCUUCUGAGGCAGAAAAGAGCUGCCUGCAGUGCUCAAAAUAGUUCAAGGGAAUUUUUGUAAUGCUUCAAAAAUAUCCUCCAAAGUGAGCCUUGGCAGUGUCUUCUGCACCACCUGCUACUGGUACUCUGGAAAUCAGGAGUGGCUGAAGGAGGAUGGUUGCAGUAAAAGCUCCCUGAGAAUGUCACCUUUGCACUUGUUUUGGUGCUCAGCAAAGCCAAAAUAAAAUAACAAGGUACUUUUUCCUCUGAAUGCUUUGACUCUGUUCUUUCUUUCAAAAGUCUGAUGGGGAGAUUUUAACCACAAAGCUUCAGGACAGAGGAUGUUUCGUUGAUUCUUGGUUCCUGGAUGAUCUCUGGAUGUUGGUUUUGCUCUGUGCAUGCACAGAGUGACCAUCCAGCACAGGCAGUGGCAAUGCUUCUGCCCAAAACUUCAGAGGGCUGGGACACGAGCCUGGUGAGGGCAAAGGGCAGCUGGGAACCUGAACCUUGUGUGUUUUGUUGGCUCGGAGGGCAGGAGGAGGUGAGACUGAGGGCAUGUUGGAUGGACAGCAGCUGUUGGAUAUUGGUCACACUCAGUGUGUGAGCUGGGCACAAGUUUGUCUGGAACAAAGUUUCCAAUAUCCCAUGCAAACCUCGAAACCCAAAGGAGUACUACGUGUGCGUGGAAAAGAGGAAGACAGCCUAAUUCAAGAGGGAGAGAAGUCAAACCUCUCCCACAAUUACAAAUGGGAGUACAGGUUUGGAUCCAUUUUGGUCUGUGUAUCAUUUCCACAUUUUCAGGUAGUGGUGUCCAAAGUACUAAAAAUCAGGGAUGGCUCAGGGUGAGCUUUUCUUGUGCCUGUGUGGUCAAGGAAUGGCCUGUGUUGGAAGGGACCUUUAAAGCCCAUCCAGUUCCAAUCCCCUGCCAUGGGCAGGGAUGCCUUCCACUAUCCCAGGUUGCUCCAAUUCCCAUCCAACCUGGCCUGGAACACUGCCAGGGAUGGGGCAACCACAGCUUCUCUGGGCACCCUGUGCCAGGGUCUCACCCCCCUCACAGCCAAGAAUUUUUUCCUAAUAUCCAAUCUAGUCCUACUCUGUGCCAGUCUGAACCCUGCUUACACUACAUGGGAACAGUCAGUCUGGCUUAAGCCAUGGAUUGACCUUUUUUUGGCCCAGAAAUGUGUGAUUUUGCAGUGAGAUCAGGAAUUGCAAUUUCCUGGUGCACGAGGGGUGUCCAAGUGUUUGCAUCAGGACCAGCUGGGCACUUUAGCACUAUGGAUGAGUGUUGGAUGCUGCAGACACUGGCCCCAGCCACACAGAACUCCCAAAUCUUGUGUGUGCAGGCUCACAGCCCAGCUGAGCUCACUCCAGCCCCUUCACUGAAGGAUCCUUGAAUAUUGCCUAAUUUGAGCCCGGGGACUCAGCCAUAACGAGUGGGUGAUUGAGUGAAUCAUGCCUCGCUUUCUCUUCCCCAACACAGCAAUUCACCCACAUUUGUUCAUUACUCAGACUUGUUUGCCAAAUAAUUUAUGCACAUAAUUUCGGGGUCGGUAAUUCAUUCACAUGCAGCCUGGGUGAGUGUUUAGCAAUUGAAAUGAGAAAGUCAAGAUGUUUUGUUUGGGCUCACAAGUUUUUGUUUCUUGAUUAAACUCUCAAAACCGUGUUGUAGGGGUGACUGCUCGUGUCAGUGAAUUCAGAAUGUAAUUUCUGCAUUUACCCUCUAAUACACACAUACAUUCAUGAUGUCUUCACUUGCUAGUAAACACGUUGAUUGCAAAGUCUGUGAAAGGGGGACACAAAAGGAGCCUAAAUUAAGCCAAUUAUUUAAAACAAUGAAACAUAUGGAAAACUAACCUGUUGUGUGAUCUUUUUAUUCUGUGCAAAAGAAAAAACGCUACACUGAAAUCUGGCCAAAAAGCAAAGUGAUAAAAUGUGUACUGGAUGCUUUCCAGCAUCCUCUGAAACAUUCAGGGUAGAAAAUGUCAAACUGCUUGAAUUUGAAUCUUUUAAAGAGAAAAAAAUAAGCAUCAGAAGUGUAACCAAGAAAUCUCCUGGGUAUGGUGAUGCUUAGCAGAGGAAUGGAAAGUGGUAAAUGUGGCACCAGAUUUUAACGCUGUUGUGUCAUGAUGGAAAUCCAUAACUCAUAAAUCCUUCUUGGGUAUCCCAGCUCUGGUUCCUUUAUGGAUGUGGAGGGAUAUAUGUGCAUAUAUACAUACAGGGGGGUGGCAAAAGGCUGUAGAUAAGGCGGAAUUGGGAAUUACAACACUUUAUAUGUGUUCAAGAAAACCAGAGGGAAGCAGCAACUGAGGGUUUCCAACUAUCUAUAAGUAUUUGGCUCAGGUAGUUCCCAAGAGGAAAAUUAUUGGAGGCUGAGAGAGCAUCAGAGGAAACAUUUUAUGCUCAUCCUGCUGCUGUACUUUCCUAGAUGUUCACUUUGGCCAGUGCUAGAGACAAGAUAAAAACAAGUGUGGGUUGGAUGAGUCUGGAUCUGUGUGGUUGGAGCUGGGAGAGGCAGGAGGUGUCUGGAAACCACAGCCUGGCAGCUCUUCUUUCUGUAGCAGGCAAAUUGGCAGGGAUCACCUGGGAUACUUGGAUAUACUGGAGACUGUGGAAGAUCAGUCACUGUAGAAAGAUUUUUAGCAGUUUUAUUGCAAUCAUUUUUUUAAAAAUUAUGUUAUUAUGGUGUAAGAUGAAAGCCCUGUCAGGGAUUUCUAAUUGUUCAAUGAAAUGAGAGAAAAUACAGAAACAAUGAUCAUUUUUCACUACAGAGAGGUGUGAAAGCAGGAUGCCCUAAAGCUCUAGAUAAACUCUUCAGGAACUGACUGGAAAAGAAGGGGAUUUCUGAGGUGCCACGGCUUGCUGGUGUCACACAAUUACGUGGGAUGGUUUAAGAUAAAGAUUUGUGUAGAGGAAGAGAAUGGAUCCCCACUCCUGGUGACUGCUGGGUAAACUCCAGGGAAAUUCUGUGUUGGUAAGUCCCAAAUAAUAAACAUGGGAAAGAGUAAUUAACUAUAUAUAUGUAAUCAUAGUCUCUGAUGGGUAUUACCUGCUCAGGAAAGAAAUCUGAGUGGCAGUAUUGAUAACUCCACGGAGACAAGAAUUCAACUCCCUGCAAAAUGCAAGAAGAGAAAUAAACCACGAGACAGAGAAGGGAAAAUCUGUGUCCUAAUAAUGUAUUUAUUUUUUUAAAAAUACCAUAGAAUUCCUAAUAGACUUUAAGUAGUCAGAUAGCUUCCAAAAUGUUCUCUGCUCUCAUAUUCUCAUAGCAUGAACAUUCACAUGUUCUAACCUCCCGUGUAUUUGUGCAAGAAAAUGUGAUAUCAGGAACAAUGGAGAGAUAGGGCUGGUCACUGGUCCUAUUCCAGAGAGUCAGCAGUGACCAGGAGUUCCUUGACCUUCAGAUGAGCAACAUGCCAGCUGAGAGCACUUUUGGAACCAAGUGUCUGUCUUGGCUGUCUUGUUUUUCCUGGAUGCCGUGCAGAUCCAUGGCCAUGUCCAGGCAGGUGCAGAUGGCAGCUGCCAGCAGAGUUAGGUCUUCAUUCACAACUGGGAGAUAACAGGGAGCUGCUGCCAGCCCCAAUCCAUCUUCCCCAUCACCUUUGCUGGGAGGGAGAUCAGCUUCACACCCAGCCCAAGACUUGGCAGCUCAGCCUGAUUCCUUCACUGGCUCCCACCAGGGAUGUGGGAGUGCUCAGCUCCAAACCAGACCUCAGCUCCUCGCUAGGAGCCCUCCAGAUGGAGCUGGGUGCUGGAAAUUCCCAGCCCUGUGGAGGUCAGCAGUCACUGGUGUUGGUCUGGACGUGAAUUUCAAGGCUCAGAGCUUUGCUCCCAAGCCUCUGCAGACAAAACUCUCUGUGUUGGGCCUUGCAGCUGGUGCUGGCUGCAGAAAGCUGCCCAUCUGUGCAGAGGGAGAAGCCAUCAACACUGACUCACUGCUCCACCACCUCCUACUUUUGGCAGAAACAGCACAAGCACACUCAGAGGACCCUGGCAGAACAGAGCACUUGCAGUGAGGGGCUGGGGUUGAUGCUGAAGGGAUGUGACAUCAAACCAUGCUCAGAGCAGUCAUUCCUAGGUGAGUGAGUGGUGUCCAUGGUCCUGCAUGGACUCAUGGAAUCACUGUGUGGACUCACUGUGCCCUCAGAGAGCUGAUCUGCUGGAGGGCAGGAAGGCUCUGAGAGGGAUCCGCAUGGGCUGGACCCAUGGACUGGAUCCAUGGGCCAAGACCACAGCGUGAGGUUCAACAAGGCCAAGGGCUGGGUCCUGCACUUGGAUCACAACAACCCCAGGGAAUGCUCCAGGCUAGGGCAGAGUGGCUGGAAAGCUGAAAGUGGAAAAGCAGUAGGUUGGCAGUGGCUGAACAUGAGUCCAGGUGUGCCCAGGUGGGCAAGAGGCCAAUGGCACCUGGCCUGUAGCAGGAACAGCGUGGCCACAGGACCAGAGUAGUGACUGUCCUGUGGUGCUGGGCACUGCUGAGGCCACACCUCGAGUGCUGUGUCCAGUUCUGGGCCCCUCGGUACAAGAAGGACACUGAGGGGCUGGAGCAUGUCUAGGGAAGGGAAUGGAGUUGGGGAAGGGUCUGGAGCACCAGGAGAGACUGAGGGAGCUGGGAAGGGGCUCAGUGUGGAGAAAAGGAGACUCAGGGGGGACCUUGUGGCUCUGCAUAACUCCUGACAGGAGGGGACAGCCAAGGGGGGUUGGGGUCUGUUCCCAGGGAACAGGGACAGGAAAAGAGCAAACAGCCUCAAGCUGCAUCAGAGGAAGUUCAGGUCAGGUGGACAUCAGAAGGAAUUUCUUCACAGAAAGGUUGUCAAGCAUUGGAAUAGGCUGCCCAGGGAAGUGAUGGAGUCCCCAGCUCUGGAGGUGUUGAAGAAAUGAUGGAAUGUGGCACUCAGGGCUCUGGUCUGGUUGACAAAGUGGUGAUCAAAGGCUGGGCUCAAUGAUCUUUUAGAUCUUUUUCUAACUUUAAUGAUUUUAUGAUUCUGUGAAAGCAGGUCUCAAACAACAGGAGCGAUUUUUCAGACCAGUUUCUGACCAAACACAAUAUCUGACUAAACACCAACCCCUAGAGCUGGACUAAACAGCCUUGGCUCUUUACAUGCCUGAAAUACACUUUUUAACCCUGCAGUCUCAUCCUACAGUCACUGAGUGAAGUUUGGAUGGGCUUGCCCUAGAAAUGCAUAUUCCUAAUGAAGAACCUGAGUAACCAGCUCAGAUCAUGGAAAUACAGAAUCAUUAAAGCUGAAAGGUCAUCAAGGCCAACAAUUAACGCUGCACUGCCAAGGAUGAAGUUAGGACAUCUCAUAAAGAUUGGAGAGAAGAACCUCACCCUGCAGAUGCAGGGACUCAUCUCCAGAGUUCACAGCUUUAAGGAGCCUGAAAAUAAAAACAUCCUUGAGGCAGAAAAUCCCUACCCAGGCAUGCAACAAAAGACUGCCUGCUCCAAAAUCCUAAUCUUUCUCUCCAGCCAAGACUCAUGGCUGGUCCUUAAAGAGAGGGGGAUCCUGUGUGGGUAGGAGAGCAGAACCAGGACCCUUCUCUUGCAGAGGAGAGUUUUUAUCAUCAUCACAGCUCCCAUUUCCCAAAGCUGUGGUGCAGGCACACUCUUGUGGCUGCACAGAGCAGUGCACGCUGCUCGAGGCCAGCUCUGCUCCAGGAGCCCGCAGGAGCAGAGAGGAUUUUGUGGCUCGUCCUGCCCCUCCGAGAAGGCACCGGCUCCUUCAGCCACCGCACCCACAGUGAUCCGGGAUACUGCGGCAGCCCCCGGGAUGCUGUAAGAGCUUUCCUGAGCGCUUUUCUCCAGCUCUGGUCAGAGCAGGGUGUGUGCCCUGAGGCAGGGAAUAAUUCAGCACUGCGGAUAUUAACGCUCCACCGCGGGAAUGAGCCUGGUUCUGGGAAAAGGGACAGCCCAGCUGCUGGGCUAGGGGUGAAAGUUUGGGGUCCCCAGUCCAUUAAGAGUCAUGGGAUUCGUGUCACCCCACACAGGGCAUCCUGUAUGACUUUAUUUAUCCUGGGAAGAGGCUCUUAUUUACCCUGGGAGGUGCCUCCUCAUCCUGCCCAGGUGAGCAUCUUUGGAUGCUCUCCAUCUCCCACCCUGCAGCCUCGGAAGUUGGCUGGGGGUGCUGAAUCUCCUCUGCCUCUGCUCUUUGGGGUUUUGCUGAAGGAGCAGCAAAACCCUUCCUUGCUGGCAGCCUGGGUGAAGCCCAUCAGCCCUGCUCACACCCGAGUGAGGAAAAAGCUGUUGGCAAUUGGCUGUGAAAAUCAGAAUGUCACCAAGUGGUGCUGAAAGUGGAUUUUUUCCCCUUCCCUUUCUUUUUUUUUUUUUGUUUUUCCUUUACUGUCAGGACAUGCAGAUCCCAACCAGGAGGCUCCACUGUGCAUUGCUUGGGGUCCUGGGGUCUAACAGAGAUGGAGCAUCAGUCACCCCACUGAGUUCCUUGCAGUCGGAGCAAAACCUCCUUUUCCCCUAUUUUUGGGAGUGUCUAGAAUCAGGAGGAUUCCCCUUGUUUUUUCCCCCUCCUUCUCAGCUGCUUGCAGCAUAUCCCUGCCCUCUGGAAAACACAGAGGCUGUGGCUCUGCUGUACCUACUCCAUGAGCUGUGCUGCUCAUCCAGACCCUCUGCUUCCCAAAAAUCAUCUUGGUGUAGCUCUGAUCUGUGGGUUUCAGAGCAAGCUGUGUAAGAACAGGGAUCCCUGAGACAUCCCUGAGAAAAGCUGUCUCAUGCUGCCAGUCUGAGCUACACGUGGACAUGAAAAUGGAUGGGAAACAACUGGGACUGAAGUGGGAUUACAAAUGGCAGCAUCAGUUGUCUGCUCUGGAUGCAUUCAAAUACAUACUUCAACAUCAGGUUGUUCUCUGAGAGAUCCUGGGGUUGUUCCCUGUAUAAAUCACCUUGUUCCCAUUCUGCCCUAACACUGGAGGCAUCAUUUGAGAAAAAAUGAUUUAAAAACCACCCCCAAAACCCCCAAGUGCAGCCCUGAACUGUUUGGUGGGGCUGUAAGACAGGGAAGUGGUUUGAACAAACACAGUGCCUUGUGAUGAGACUGGCAGAAAAUCCCAGAGACCCUGGAUCCCUGAAUUCCAGAACCCCAGAAUGGUUUGGGUUGGAAAGGGACCCUAAAGUCCACCCAGUUCCAACUCCUGCCAUGGCAGGGACACCUUGCACUAUCCCAGGUUGCUCCAAACCCCAUCCAACCUGGCCUGGCACACUUCCAGGGAUGGGGCAGCCUCAGCUUCUCUGGACAGCCUGUGCCAGGGCCUCACCAUUCACAGGGAAGAGUUUCUUCCCAAUAUCCCAUUUAACCCUGUUUUUUUGUCAAAUUGACACCAUUUCCCCUUGUCCUGUGAAUCCAGGCUCUUGUCCCCAGUCCCCCUCCAGCUCUCCUGGAGCCCCUUCAGGCCCUGGCAGGGGCUCUGAGCUCUCCCUGGAGGUUUCUCCUCUCCAGGUGAGCACCCCCAGCUCUCCCAGCCUGGCUCCAGGGCAGAGGGGCUCCAGCCCUUGGAGAAUGUUUGUGGCCUCCUCUGGACUCACUCCAGCAUCUCCACAUCCUUCUCAAGCUGGGCCCUCAAACCUGAACCAAGUACUGCAGGUGGGUUUCUAAAUAUUAAUUUUUAUUUUCUUGCUGAUGGGAGCCAUGGCAUAUUUGCAUUUUUGAGCCUGAAUAGUUUUAAUUCGGUUUUUUAUUGUACAAACUCAAGAGGAACAUUUACUUUGUUUUCACUGAUUAGUUAUACAAUUAUUCCUUUCAGAUACCACAUGAACCAUGAACCAUAAUAUUGUAUUCUUUGCUAAUACAUUUUGGCUGAGGUAUUUACAUGAAAACACAAUACAUAAAUGUAAUGAAUUUUUCAAAUGAACACAUCGGUAAUAUAAAGUAAUCUUUUUUUUUUCCCAUACACCGAAAAUUCAUUAAACUUUUCUCAAUUAGCAAACUGACUUUUCUAAAUAAGCUGCUGAUUGAGCACGAGCCACGAGCUGGAUUUGAUAAUGUUGGAUGGUGCCUGUCACCAGGGAGGGAGAGAUUAUCUCUGCCAGCCCAGGGCAGGAAUCUUCUGCUGGAUCUGUCACCUCUUGAAGGGGGUACCACUUCCAGCUGCUCACCAGUGAGGAGUCAGGGCUUCCCAAAUGAGAAUAAAUGAGAAUAAUCUUCCAACUAGGAGGUGAAAUGAAGUCCUGGGCUGAGUCCAGCCUUCAGGCCUGUAUCAGCAUCUGUGCUGUGGCCAGCCAGGUCAGGGAGAGGAGGAAAUGGGAAUGAGGGAGGACAAAGCCUGGUUAAUUUUCAGCUGGAUGAAGGCACAGAUGUGGCUGUUCAUGUUCCUGCAGAGCUACAAGUGUUGUGAAGGUGUCCAAGGCCAGGCUGGACAGGGCUUGGAGCAGCCUGGUCUGUUGAAGGUGUCCCUUCCCCCUGGCAGGGGGUGGAACUGGAUGAACUUUAAGGUCCCUCCUAACCCAAACCAUCCUGUGACUCUGUGAUUAUGUUCCAUGAUGACACAAACUGUUACAGCCUGGAGAAGUAAAGUCAUGCUCCUUCUGAAGUCAGCACCUUACUCUUUUAUUUAUUUUUAAUUUUAUUAGUCUUCUUUUUAUUUUCCAUAGAAUCCAGAGGUAGUAAUUCCUUUUGUGGACUCCUUUAAAUAUGCUCUGCAGAAACCAGGGACUGAUGCUGAAAUCUUGGUCUCACUGAAGUUAGUGGGGAUCUUGCUCCUGGCUUUGUUGGGGGGAUUUGGUUCUGGCCGAGUCUCUUUGUGUGAAGUGGAAUAAAUCCAUCAGGAGUGGAGUGUCUCAGCACAAUGAACACCUCCCAGUGCCUUUCACACAGAUCACACUGUUAUAUCAUGUGCCUGACCUACUUUGCUUUAAUAAGCUCAUCUGUGUGCAGUGGAAGAUAAGCAAAACCACUCUUCUGACACGAAAAUCCAUCCUGCCUAUCAACACGUGUGUGCUGCUCUUGGCAGGGGCUGAUCCUGGGCUGAUAAGGGCUGCUUUUCCCUCUCAUGGAAGUAAAACUUCCACUGGCAUCCAGUGAGACUGGGAGGCACUGGAAAAGGUUGUCCAGAGAAGCUGUGGGUGCCCCAUCCCUGGAGGUGUUCCAGCCCAGGUCAGAUGGAGUUUGGAGCAACCUGGGAUAGUGGAAGAUAUCCCCAACAGGGCUGGAUGAUCUUGAAGGUUCCUUCCUACCAAAACCAUUCUAGAAUUCAGUGAUUUGACCCCAUUACAGGGGUGGGAAGGACAAGAAGUCAGCUUCAGGGACUGGCUGUGGACAAAAGAGCAAGGAGUGGGAUCAAUAGUGGGAUUCAAAAGUUAUAUCAGAUUGUUUCUCAUGUUGGGAUACACAGGGCUCAGGUGGGGAUUUGUGUCCAUCUCCUCCUGGAUGAGCAUGAAUGUUUCUCUUUGGACACUUUGUUCUCCUGGUACAAUUCCCCAGGAUCACCAUGGGGCCUCCCAGGGUUGUUGCUCCCAUGGGACAGUCCAGGCUUUUGCUCCUGCAGAGCAUCUUCAUGCUUGGGUUUCCCACCAGGCUGCAGCUGAGCAUGGGCAGCCCCAUCUCCAGCAUCUCUGCCUGACAGGAUCAGAGAAUCACUGAAUAUCCUGGAUUGGAAGGGACCCACAAGAAUCAUCAAGCCCUGCACAGCCCCAGGAAUCCCACCUUGUGCCUGAGAUCAUUAUCCAAAUCCUCCUUGAGCUCUGGCUGUCUUGGUGCCUGGACCACUUCCUUGCAGAGCCUGGAUCUCCAUCCUACCCAAAGACGUUCCCGUGGAAAAUCCCAGCCUUUCCUGGGAAAGCCUCCCCCAUGAACUGUGCUAGAAAUGUCAGGGUGGGUGUCAUGGCUCUCACUGUCAGAGGCAUCCCUGAGACAACCCCUCUGAGUUCAAAGCAUUUCAGCAGUGCAGAAAAGCUGGUUUGGCUCCCAAAAUAGCUCCACACACGACGCCGCUGAUGACAAAGCUCAUUACCUGGGUCAUGUUCUGGCAAAUUCCUUUGUGAGAGAAAAUCCUGCCUGCUGUGGAAUGCCCUUGACCAGCCCCAAACCUGCUUUUGCUGGGCUGGGAAGAGAUGAGAGCACAGACAGACCCUGAGCAACAGGGAGGUAAGCAGGACCCUUGUCGUGAGCAUGAGCACAGAACCAGGAUGCAUCUUGUGGUGCCCUCCCUCUUUCUUUUGUUUUUUUGCUUUGCUACUGGAUUUGGGUCAGUAUUUUUAUCUUUGCUUCCCCCUUUAUUUAUUUAUUUGUUUGUUUAUUUGUUCCCUUUUUUUUUUUUUUUUUU